UACAGAGGUCCCGAGCGUUGUUCGGAUUCAUUGGGCGUAAAGGGUGCGUAGGCGGUGGUGUAAGUUGGAUGUGAAAUCUUGGGGCUUAACCUCAAAAUUGCAUUCAAUACUGCUCCGCUCGAGCGCUGUAGAGGAGAUUGGAAUUUACGGUGUAGCAGUGAAAUGCGUAGAUAUCGUAAGGAACACCAGUGGCGAAAGCGAAUCUCUGGACAGCAGCUGACGCUGAGGCACGAAGGCCAGGGGAGCAAACGGGAUUAGAAACCCCCGUAGUCC
rnacentral:rRNA from 1 species